CCAAUAGCGUAUAUUAAAGUUGUUGCAGUUAAAAAGCUCGUAGUUGAAUUUCGGGGUUAGUAGGUUGGUCAUGCCUCUGGUAUGUACUGGUCUCACUGAUUCCUCCUUCCUGAUGAACCUUAAUGCCAUUAAUUUGGUGUUUUGGGGAAUUUGGACUGUUACUUUGAAAAAAUUAGAGUGUUUAAAGCAAGCUAACGCUUGAAUACAUUAGCAUGGAAUA
rnacentral:rRNA from 1 species